GGGUGCUGGAUGGGAGCUCCCAGAAGGGUAAAAUUCAGCUUGAGGCAGUGAGAAGGGUGGAGGUACUGCAGGUACCAGGAGGCUGUUGGGGCACAAGAGCUCAGCUCAGGCUCUUCUCACAGGCUGUGUCAGGCAGGCAGCAGCUAGAGCCCAUCGCUGCCUCUUCAUCCAAAUGUUUGGCAGGGGGACAGGACCCAGAUGGGUUUGUCUGGGCUCGGUGCUUUGCGACAGCCUGGUAUGGCUUGUUUUGCUCUGCUUCCUUGUGAGCUCUUGUUUUGCAGUUCUGCAAUGCUUGGGAAGUGGAUGAGUUCGGUUCAGCCCAUUCCUGCUACCCUGGGAGUGACCACAGAUCGUCUGUGGCUGUGCAGGGACAAUUUGCUGCCCUUCAGGACCAGCCUGGCAGGAAGGCUCAGAGAGGCUUGGGUUUUGCAUCUCCAGAGGGUGCAAUUGCUCUGGUGUCGCCUGCAAGCUACGGGGUGGACCUGGCUCCUCCCCAGGCAAGCUUGGUUUGGAAGGAGCAUUCACCUCAGUGCUGCCCACCGGGUCACUAACUGGUAGGACAGCACCACUUGGGUCCCCAAAGCAUCACCGGCCUCUCCCCACCAAGGGCAAGGGUUCCCUGGUGCCCGUGGCCUGUUUUCAAAUGGCAGUGAGCGAUGCCGCCCCCGUGGGUUUUCCACUGGAGGGCUGGGAAUUUGCAUCCCUUCUUCCACAUUAUUGUUGUGCUGCCUUCGCUUCAGCAGGUGGGAGUCUAUAGCUUGCCAGGACGAUUUCGCAUUUCACAAAGGAGCCUUUUUGCCCACACGCCUUCGCAGUGGAAAGCUGAAAAAUUGUUCUGUUCCAGCCUAUUUAGUUUUAAUUGUUUCCUUUACUUCUCAUUGCCCGCAGCAAAAUAUCACCUUCCCCUAACAAACAGCCAGGCUGGGAGCCAGUCACCCUGCACAGCCACCGCCACCAAGACCACCAUGCCAUCCCUCCUGCCGGUCCCAUGGCUUCCAGGGGUCUCUUGCCUUUGCUGGGCAGGGGAGAAGUUGGCGGGAGGGAGAGAGAGGGUCAGCUGGUUCAGGUCCUUUGCACGUUCAUUUGGUUUGUCUGGAGGACUCCUAGGGUUAUACCUGAGAUGAAGACAUCUAGGGGACACUCCAUAGCUCAAUUAAAACAUGGUUGGUGUUUUGUGCCUAGAAGAGCCCUCGCUGACGGGAUUUGUCCAUGGCGGUCGCCCCACUCAGCAAGAGAGCAGCAUCCCUCCUCCGCUCGGCACAGGACUAUCUGAACCAAC
rnacentral:lncRNA from 1 species